rnacentral:rRNA from 1 species
GGCCUACCAAGGCGACGAUCUGUAGCGGGUCUGAGAGGAUGAUCCGCCACACUGGGACUGAGACACGGCCCAGACUCCUACGGGAGGCAGCAGUGGGGAAUAUUGGACAAUGGGCGCAAGCCUGAUCCAGCCAUGCCGCGUGUGUGAAGAAGGCCUUUUGGUUGUAAAGCACUUUAAGCGAGGAGGAGGCUCCUUUAGUUAAUACCUAAAGUGAGUGGACGUUACUCGCAGAAUAAGCACCGGCUAACUCUGUGCCAGCAGCCGCGGUAAUACAGAGGGUGCGAGCGUUAAUCGGAUUUACUGGGCGUAAAGCGUGCGUAGGCGGCUUUUUAAGUCGGAUGUGAAAUCCCUGAGCUUAGCUUAGGAAUUGCAUUCGAUACUGGAGAGCUAGAGUAUGGGAGAGGAUGGUAGAAUUCCAGGUGUAGCGGUGAAAUGCGUAGAGAUCUGGNAGGAAUACCGAUGGCGAAGGCAGCCAUCUGGCCUAAUACUGACGCUGAGGUACGAAAGCAUGGGGAGCAAACAGGAUUAGAUACCCUGGUAGUCCAUGCCGUAAACGAUGUCUACUAGCCGUUGGGGCCUUUGAGGCUUUAGUGGCGCAGCUAACGCGAUAAGUAGACCGCCUGGGGANGNUACNGGUCGCAAGACUAAAACUCAAAUGAAUUGACGGGGGCCCGCACAAGCGGUGGAGCAUGUGGUUUAACUCGAUGCAACGCGAAGAACCUUACCUGGCCUUGACAUACUAAGAACUUUCCAGAGAUGGAUUGGUGCCUUCGGGAACUUAGAUACAGGUGCUGCAUGGCUGUCGUCAGCUCGUGUCGUGAGAUGUUGGGUUAAGUCCCGCAACGAGCGCAACCCUUUUCCUUAUUUGCCAUCGGGUAAUGCCGGGAACUUUAAGGGUACUGCCAGUGACAAACUGGAGGAAGGCGGGGACGACGUCAAGUCAUCAUGGCCCUUACGGCCAGGGCUACACACGUGCUACAAUGGUCGGUACAAAGGGUUGCUACCUCGCGAGAGGAUGCUAAUCUCAAAAAGCCGAUCGUAGUCCGGAUCGCAGUCUGUAACUCGACUGCGUGAAGUCGGAAUCGCUAGUAAUCGCGGAUCAGAAUGCCGCGGUGA